rnacentral:rRNA from 1 species
UACGUAGGUGGCGAGCGUUGUCCGGAUUUACUGGGCGUAAAGGGAGCGUAGGCGGACUUUUAAGUGAGAUGUGAAAUACCCGGGCUCAACUUGGGUGCUGCAUUUCAAACUGGAAGUCUAGAGUGCAGGAGAGGAGAAUGGAAUUCCUAGUGUAGCGGUGAAAUGCAUAGAGAUUAGGAAGAACACCAGUGGCGAAGGCGAUUCUCUGGACUGUAACUGACGCUGAGGCUCGAAAGCGUGGGGAGCAAACAGGAUUAGA